CAAAAGUUUGGUCCUAGCUUUAAUAUCAACCAUAAUUGGCCUUACACAUGCAAGCCUCCCCCCUCCAGUGACAACGCCCCUAUAUCAACAUAAGGAGCCGAUAUCAGGCACAACUAUUAGCCAAUAACAUCUAGCCACGCCACACCCACAAGGGCCCGCAGCAGUGAUAAGCAUUGGAAUAUAAGCCACAGCUUAAUCCAGCCACAAUUAACAGAGUUGGUCUAUCUUGUGCCAGCCACCGCGGUUAUACAAGAAACUCAAGUUGAUAUUACACGGUGUAAAGUGUGAACAGGGAACAUUAACCAAAAUAAGACUAAAAAUCCACCACGCUGUUAUACGCUAUAGUAGGAUAAUGCACCCACCGACGAAAGAAACCUUAAUGAUAAACAACUCUGACUUCACGACAGCCGAACCACAAACUGGGAUUAGAUACCCCACUAUGUUCAGCUACAAAACUUGAAUACUUACUUUUUCCUCCACCAGAGUACUACGAGCCACAGCUUAAAACUCAAAGGACUUGGCGGUGCCCCAAAUCCCCCCAGAGGAGCCUGUUCUAUAAUCGAUAAUCCACGUUAAACCUCACCACCUUUUGCUAACUCAGCCUAUAUACCACCGUCGCCAGCCUACCUCAUGAGAGAGCCUAAGUAGACAAAAACGAUCAACCCGAACACGCCAGGUCAAGGUGUAGCACACAAGAUGGAAAGAAAUGGGCUACAUUUUCUUAAAAAGAAUACUACGAAUCUACUAUGAAAAUACUUUUGAAGGCGGAUUUGGCAGUAAGGAGGGGACAAUAUCAUGCCCCCCUUAAGCCGGCCCUGGGGCGCGCACACACCGCCCGUCACCCUCAUUAUAAACACAUCUCAAUUAAAUAAAAUACCUAAACACUACCAAAUGAGGCAAGUCGUAACAUGGUAAGCGCACUGGAAAGUGCUCUUGGACU
rnacentral:ncRNA from 1 species